CUAAUACCGCGAAGCUACCAUCUGUUGGAUUACGACUGAACGCCUCUAAGUCGGAAUCCAUGCUGGCUAAGCAGUGUUAUCCACCGCUUCCACAAUUACAUGACAAGCAUUAGGUUUCGACCCUGUUGCAUACGAACCACUUCUACCGCUAAAGGUUGUGUGGCUAAUCUCAAUUUCAAAUUUUGGAAGUGAUAAACCUUUUGCAGACGACUUAACUGAAUCCAGGUAUUGUAAGUGCUGAGAGUAGCCUUUGUGCUACGAUCCACUGA
rnacentral:rRNA from 1 species